UGGGGUUAGGUUGGAUCCCGGCUGCUGGGCUGUGGAGCUCCCGCAGACUUUCCCCGCGACGCGGUCUCGCCCGGUGACCCCCGCCGGCCCCGCGCCCUCUGAGCCAUACUACCUGGGAUCCUGAUCGUGAGAGGACGGGUGAAAGGCCCGGGGGAGGAGAGGGAGCAGGGCAGGUUAGAUUCCCAGGAGUGGGGUCACUGCCUCAAUUUUCUGUCUCCGAAUCCAUUGUGCAGGCCCACCUGCUGUGCUGGAGGAAGGGCACGUCAGGAGGAGCACGGGGCUGAGAGUCGGGAACACCACUCACCCUGCAGCUGUGCAGCCCGGAGCCUCAUUUCCUCACCCACGGGUCAGGGUGGGCACACUUGACUCUCUCUAGAAUCCCUUCCAAUUUGAAGUCUCUGUAAUUCUCUUGGCCCUGACUGAAUUUUUUUAUUCAACAGCUCCUGUGACCAAUGGCCUAGGUUUGCUAAGAGGCAGCCAGAGUCAGAAUUCAUCCUGGGGUCACCCAACAGGUCAGAACUAAAGACACACAGGAAUUAAAGCUGAGACCCUGGCCUCUGCCUGGCACCAUGUUCUAGCUCACUGAGCUAACUGACCCCUAGGGAAACAAGCCACACCAUUCACAUGAAAUAAACAAAAACUGUGCUUUUAUA